CUAUUUCUGACCCAUUUCUAUUUUGAACAAAUUACUAAGUAGGAUACUUUCCUAUUUCCAGGUUUCUUUUGCCUCUCUAGUUGAAGAACUUAAGAAAGUGAUCCAUGAGAAAGAUGGAAAGAUCAAGUCUGUAGAAGAGCUUCUGGAGGCAGAACUUCUCAAAGUUGCUAACAAGGAGAAAACUGUUCAGGUAUUGGGAGACAGAGAACUGUGUUUUAUGUUUUUGUUUAUCAACUUUAGUUAAUAUCAUUUAAUUUCGUGUGUUUUUGUCUGUGCAUUGCAUUUUAUGUCAAUUUCUGUGUUUCCAUUGUCCAAUCUUGUCUGUUUUGUCAUUGUCAAGGAUUUGAAACAGGAAAUAAAGGCUCUAAAAGAAGAAAUAGGAAAUGUCCAGCUUGAAAAGGCUCAACAGGUAAAAAUCCCAGAGCCAUAGCAUGACAGAUUUAUUAGUUGUGUUAUUUAUGAGCUAUUUGAUUUUUUUUCUUGUUACUCAGAAAAAACUUAGUAUGCUGUAGGUAUAUUGGGUUAUGUGCUUUUAAUUUUAUUUUUUGCCUGAUUUGAGAAAGUAUUCUUGAUAUUUUAAUCUGUAUAUCUUAAAAAUUUUAACUGUUAAUGGUUAUUUUCUAGAACAUUUUUUGUGUUAAUGUUUCAUUUUAGUUUGCCAAUUACAAAUGAAACACGAAACAGUUUGGCAAUUUUUUUAAUCCCCCUGCCCCCUUCUAAAAGAAAACUGCAUGGACCAAAAUGUUAUUUGAAUAUACAUUGCUCUAUCUCUGCCUUAGAACAAAGUACAAGUUUCAUUGGGAUUUCAGACAUAGAUGUGAUUACUGGAAAUUGAUGAGUUUUGCUGAUUUUAAUCUGAUAAGGCUUUCUUGAAAAAAUAGUGAGAUUUCAUUGAAGAGAUGAUUCAUUCAUCUCAUAGAUUCAUUCAGCAAUAUUUAUUGUCAAAGCAGUACUUGUCAAAGCACUGUACUCGUGAUUGGUGGAUCACUAGCUAGUGAUUGGAGAUAAUGUGUUGAAUGAAACAGGUAGGAUGAAAAGAUCAUACUUUUCUAAUAUAGAUUGAGAGUUCAGGAAAGUCUUCUCCUGAGGAACUGACAUCUAAGCCAAGAAUCUGAAGGGCCUGUGAGAAGAGAGUGGAGGAUAAAAGGUAUUAUCAGACUGUGUAUGAUUAAG
rnacentral:lncRNA from 10 species